CAGUCGCCGCGGGAAUACAGAGGGUGCGAGCGUUAAUCGGAUUUACUGGGCGUAAAGCGUGCGUAGGCGGCUUCUUAAGUCGGAUGUGAAAUCCCUGAGCUUAACUUAGGAAUUGCAUUCGAUACUGGGAAGCUAGAGUAUGGGAGAGGAUGGUAGAAUUCCAGGUGUAGCGGUGAAAUGCGUAGAGAUCUGGAGGAAUACCGAUGGCGAAGGCAGCCAUCUGGCCUAAUACUGACGCUGAGGUACGAAAGCAUGGGGAGCAAACAGGAUUAGAUACCCCUGUAGUCCCUGUCUCUUUACA
rnacentral:rRNA from 1 species